GGAAGGACACAUGCUGCUGGCUCCAGCCAAGGAUCAGCCGAAGCCAGAAGCCAUGGGAGCCAGAGACACCGCAACCCAGGCAGACAUCAGGCUACCCACAGAGGCCUCAGAGUCCGGAGUUGCCAGGGACAGCACAGCCUGGGGAACCCAGAGGCAGCCGAGAUGCUCAGACCGCAGCAGCGAGAAACACAGUAGGCAGCAACCCAAGGGAAACAGAUAGUGGCCCAGUUAGUGAACCAGAACAUUGAGUCAGCAUGUUUCAGUUGGACCUGCCCCCCCACUAAUUCAGGGGCAUAUGCUUCUGCCACUACUUGGGCUGGGGCCCGGUGGAGAGGGAGGGCCCAGGCCCCCCUACCCGGGCUGCCACUACCCCUCUUUCUGGGCAUGGUGGCCCCCUUCCCUGAAUGAGGCCACUUGGCUGCAAGGCCUUAUUGCCCUGCGAACAGGAAUGAAUCCAGUGACUGUGGCCCCUGGGCCGUACUGCCUGGCGAACACUAGCCCUUACUAUCCUGCCAACUGGGCUGGUUCUAAUUGACUUUGGCCAUGAGGCCCUACUGCCCUGCUAAGAGGGGCCAACCUAUUGACUCUGACCCCUGUGCUGGACUUCCCUGCUAACAGGGGCAGAUGCAGUGCAAGGUCUGGAAACCAAAGUCAGCCCAGCAAACUGGGGUGAAUCCAUUGAGGCCUUACUGCCCUGCCAAGAGAAGGGAUUUAUUGACUCUGGCCAUUAGGCCAUACUGCCCCACAAAACAGAGCUAACACCUUGACUUUGGCCAUUAGGCCUCAUUACCCCACUAACAGAGGUGACUAUUGACUCUGGUUACAGAGAUAGACUCAAGUGACACAUACUCUGCGCCUAUGCGCUAAGGGAGAUGGGUCCCCCCACAACCCUGUCACACUGAGCUGAACUAAAAUUGAAAUAAAAAAUACAAAUUUUUGACCAUGUCUAGUAAAGCUAUGUACAAGCAAAAUAAAUAGUACAACUAUAAAGCAGAAAAAGUUGCCUCCAAAGUUCAAUAGUUCUUCAUGACAUUAUUACUAUUACAUACGCAGUUAAAUCAUCAAAAUGUGCCAAAGAGAUGUUAUCACACACCUUACUCAGAUGCAGAUCAUAGCCCAUAGAGAACAGCUGUGUUUUCUGGAAAUGACUUCAUAUUUCUGCAUGUUGUCUACCACACUGAAUCUAACACUUUCAACAGCAAAUAAAGCUUUUCCUUUCACCCCGAUAUUCCAUUUCCUCAAUGUAGUAAAGGUGGUAGUUAGUUGUCAACUAACUAUGCACUGAAAUAUUUUGGCUGCCUUUCUCUAAAACAUUCUUUGCAAAGGUUAAGUAGCUGCAAACCAUGCAAGUAUGUGAAGUUUCCUCCCUGAUUGGAACAGAGGCUAUGCACACUGGGUCUGAUUUGCCUCCAAUUUGCACCAGUUGUGCUCUGGUGCAAGGCCUUUGAUUUCAGCAGAGCUAUUCCUGAUGCAGGGGUGACAAACUGUAAACCCUGUAUAUAAUGGCAACCAUUUCAAGUCAGGGGGUGCUGCAGCACCCCCUGCACCCCUAGUUCCAGUACCUAUGCACUGAUGGAAGUAAAAGGGGAAUCAACCCCACUUUUCCCUUCUUGAGCUGCACCAGCGAGAUGUUUUGUAGUUGGAAUUCCGCAUUCACUUCCAUCUGUCAGACUGAACGGGCUGCUGAAGUGUAUGCUAGAGCUGUGAUGGACACCUGCAGAAAGGACAUCCAUGUGAUCCUGUCAGUAGAGAUCAUAGCUGAUGCACAGCUGUGAAAGCUUGAGGAUUCUACCCAGCUAGCAAAUUCCAUUUGUCUUAUGCAGGAGAAAUGAAUAUGAAUAAAUAUUGCUUUAAAUGAAGCUAUCUCCUGAGCAAACUGCUGCCUCAUACUUGGCAUUCUGUCUCCUGAGAUGGCCAUUAACCUGGAAGACAGCUGGAUCCCUGUGAAAGCCAAAUGGAUUUGUGAUGAACGGAGAUUUUCGAAGAGUUCAAGGAAUGUUGUACAGAAUACACAGUAACUUAUCUGCAGGAUUUACCCUGGGCUGCUACUAAUCAUCUACACUGGGUAUUAAACCAAUGGAUUCUGAGAUCUGUAUUAUUUCCAGUUCAGUGCAUGCUGGUCUUUAUUCUGUCCCCCAACCUUUCUAAGAGGACAAUUGUCAUGAGUUCUAAGAGGACUCAUGACAAUUACCCUUCUGCCUGAGUUUACUGAAGGGUAAUUAGUUCUGUGUGAUAUUCACCUCUACCUGGGAGCAAUAGAAGUUAAUUCAAAUUUCAUUUUUUUUUUACCCACUUACACUGGAACAAAUCUGGAAUAUUAGGACUUGAAAAGCCCUCAGCUGUUCUAACUCAAUUGAUUUUGCUCCCCUCUCGCUGCCCCAGCUCUCAUACCUAUUAGAUCCAAUGGACCCUAAAGUUGCCUAAGGGGCAUAUUUUUCCAGGCAUUUUCAAGGUAAACUAUCAACAGGAAAUAGUGUCUAAUGAGAUUUUUCAAAGGCAUCUAGGUGCCUAUCUGCAUCUUUAGGCACCUAUGUUUAACAAAUCUGGCCCUUUGUGACUUUGGAGCCCAAAGCUCAUCAACUUGCAAUGUGUUUAUGCUCCUAACACACGUAAGUACUGGAAAUCCCACCCUAAACCUUCACAUUUGCCUUGUGAUACCUUGUGUAGAAUGAUGCACUUUUUAAUUAUUAAACAACACAUUAAUCUGUCCCACGUACAAUAUCAGAGACAUGCAGAAAGGACACUACAGAGAACAUCUUGUACAAGUAUAUGCUCUAUCUAGUUUAAAAACUAAGGAUGGCAAUGGGAAGGAAAGUCUGCACCCACAGAGUAGGAAACACUGGAAGGAUGGACAAUAGAAAAGAUCUACUGAUCCUGCCACCCUAACUAUCAUGAUUAGUCUUAAGGAAAUUAUUUGCAUAAGACUACUGAAGGGUUUGCAGAAUGGAGACCCUAGAUAUUUGUAAGGUACUUCAUCCCAGUGUGAUGUGGUGAUCUGAUCUCUCAGUAGUGCUGACCUCCUACUGAAGUCAAUAGUUGUGUCCACUCAAAACCUCUGAAAAAGCAGGCUAUAAGCACCUCAGUAGAAUAAAUCCCUGUUAAAGGGUGUACUUCCCCAAAUAUCCAAACUAAUCAUUGGAAGGUUUGCAUUCACAGAUGCUAUUACAAAGUGGAAAUAAAGCUCAUGCAUC